rnacentral:rRNA from 1 species
UACGAAGGGGGCUAGCGUUGUUCGGAAUUACUGGGCGUAAAGCGCGCGCAGGCGGCUAUCCAAGUCAGUGGUGAAAGCCCGGAGCUCAACUCCGGAACUGCCAUUGAAACUGUUUAGCUUGAGGACGAGAGAGGUGAGUGGAAUUCCCAGUGUAGAGGUGAAAUUCGUAGAUAUCGGGAGGAACACCAGUGGCGAAGGCGGCUUUCUGGUCUGCUCUUGACGCUGAGGCGCGAAAGCUAGGGUAGCAAACGGG